ACGGAAGGCAGCAGUGGGGAAUAUUGGGCAAUGGGCGCAAGCCUGACCCAGCAACGCCGCGUGAGGGAAGAAGGCUUUCGGGUUGUAAACUUCUUUUACCAGGGACGAAGGACGUGACGGUACCUGGAGAAAAAGCCACGGCUAACUACGUGCCAGCAGCCGCGGUAAUACGUAGGUGGCAAGCGUUGUCCGGAUUUACUGGGUGUAAAGGGCGUGUAGGCGGAACUGCAAGUCAGAUGUGAAAUCCCGGGGCUCAACCCCGGAACUGCAUUUGAAACUGGAGUCCUUGAGUAUCUGAGAGGCAGGCGGAAUUCCUAGUGUAGCGGUGAAAUGCGUAGAUAUUAGGAGGAACACCAGUGGCGAAGGCGGCUUGCUGGACGACAACUGACGCUGAGGCGCGAAAGCGUGGGGAUCAAACAGGAUUAGAUACCCUGGUA
rnacentral:rRNA from 1 species